GAUGAACGCUAGCGGCAGGCCUAACACAUGCGAGUCGAGGGGGAGGUUACUUUCGGGUAACUGAGACCGGCGUACGGGUGCGUAACGCGUAUACAAUCUGCCUUUCACUGGGGGAUAGCCCGAAGAAAUUUGGAUUAAUACCCCAUAGUAUAGUAAUACGGCAUCGUGAUGCUAUUAAAGCUUAGGUGGUGAAAGAUGAGUAUGCGUUCUAUUAGCUAGUUGGAGAGGUAACGGCUCCCCAAGGCGAUGAUAGAUAGGGGUUCUGAGAGGGAUGUCCCCCACACUGGUACUGAGAUACGGACCAGACUCCUACGGGAGGCAGCAGUGAGGAAUAUUGGACAAUGGUCGGAAGACUGAUCCAGCCAUGCCGCGUGCAGGAUGAAGGUCUUAUGGAUUGUAAACUGCUUUUGUAAGGGAAGAAUAAGGGCUACGCGUAGUUUGAUGACGGUACCUUACGAAUAAGCAUCGGCUAACUCCGUG
rnacentral:rRNA from 1 species